CAGCCGCCGCGGGAAUACGAAGGGUGCAAGCGUUAAUCGGAAUUACUGGGCGUAAAGCGCACGUAGGCGGCUUUGUAAGUUAGAGGUGAAAGCCUGGAGCUCAACUCCAGAAUUGCCUUUAAGACUGCCGAGCUAGCAGGUGAGAGAGGUAAGUGGAAUUCCGAGUGUAGAGGUGAAAUUCGUAGAUAUUCGGAAGAACACCAGUGGCGAAGGCGGCUUACUGGCUCAUACUGGACGCUGAGGUGCGAAAGCGUGGGGAGCAAACAGGAUUAGAGACCCCCGUAGUCCCUGUCUCUUAUAA
rnacentral:rRNA from 1 species